AUACGGAGGGGGUUAGCGUUGUUCGGAAUUACUGGGCGUAAAGCGUACGUAGGCGGACUGGAAAGUUGGGGGGGAAAUCCCGGGGCUCAACCCCGGAACUGCCUCCAAAACUUCCAAUCUAGAGAUCGAGAGAGGUGAGUGGAAUUCCAAGUGUAGAGGUGAAAUUCGUAGAUAUUUGGAGGAACACCAGUGGCGAAGGCGGCUCACUGGCUCGAUACUGACGCUGAGGUACGAAAGCGUGGGGAGCAAACAGGAUUAGAUACCCUAGUAGUCC
rnacentral:rRNA from 1 species